CUUGCUUGUGGAAAAUGUGUUCUAGGCUACCAAAGAAGAUUACUUUUGUGCUCGUUGCCAGGAACAUCUCCUCAACUGUAUCAUCCAUGAUUCUCCAUCGACCAGGCUAGCUAGUGGCUUCUAUGGGGCGGAAUUUGACGUGGGCUUGGUUGGUCUGGGCUCAAAUGGAUGCAAAACGAAAACGGUCUGGACUGGAUUUGUAGCAGCGAAAUUUGGUCUGGAUCCGGUGCGGCCUGGUUUGGAUCAAAUGGGUUCAAUCCCCAUCGCCUCGCAUCUCCUCAUCUCCUGCCCGUCGCCAUCCCCAUCGCCGCCUCCCUUCAGCGCCGGGCACCGGCUCUCCUCCCUCCAUCGCCGUCUUUCCCGUGUUUCCUUCAGUUCCCCGUCGCCGUCUCCCUCCUCCGCUGCUUCGCAGCCACCGCGGCACCGCCGACCAACUGCUUAUCCUCUCCUAUCUGACAUCUUCUAACCAACCUACAGACGCAGGGUGCAGGAGAAGGCAAACAUCAAGUUAAGUAAGCAUGUCCAAGUUUUGACCAGGGCCCAGAAAAAAAAGCCUGAUUAACCAAAGCAUCAUCAGAACUUUUUUACAAAUAAAAUAAAAUUUGACUGAUUCUGAAAUAAGUUUGAUUAGGUUGCAAGGGAACCUAUGAUUAACUUCAGCUACAAACUAGUAUUAGUGCGUGAUUAAUUAGCUCAAGUCUAGUACACUGUACAGUACAUAUCUCUGAUUAUAUAGAGCGGGGUAGGUUAUAUAUAUAGACUGAUUCUGAAAUUUUAGUGCCUUGGAAGCGUCAGAUCUUUUUUUCACACAGAGAAGCAAAGCCUAGCUACUACGAGCUGUCCUGAGAUUUAAAGAGUACUCUACGGGCGAUGCUACCUCGCAGUGCUGCCUCCGUUUGCCAUUUGGAAACGUUGGAGAGUUCGUCCAAAUUGGAGUAAUUCCGCGGCGACGCAGGCGACAAAGGGAAGGCUCCUAACCUCGUCGGCAUCAGCAUGGGCCGGGCGUUACAUACCAUGUCAAUUACGCCCUUCAGUGAGCAUCAACGUAUCGCUUUUUAUUAAUUCGUUCCCAGUGACGGUUACGGAACGCCAGUUGCUUCUUGCUUGUGAUCUGUGGCACAGCGCAGUGUACAUGGGAAGAGAUAUGAGAUAUAUAUUUCUUCUCUUGGCCCUAUCAA